rnacentral:pre_miRNA from 1 species
UGAGGUAGUAGGUUGUAUAGUUCAGAGUAACAUCACAGGAGAUAGCUGUACAAUCUUCUAGCUUUCC